rnacentral:lncRNA from 1 species
AUUCUAUUAGUGUAUUUGUUCUGUUUAUUUUUCUGCUAUUUAUCUCAUAAGUAUCCCCUAGCAAAAUACCACAUAUCAGAAUAUAAUAUUUUCGGUAAGGUUCUUUUUUCAGCUAGUAAGUUCUCCUAAAUUGAACUUGAAAUCAAAGCCCUGGCCACAAAAAGACAUAGCAAAAACAGAACAAAGAAGGAGAAGUCGAAAGAGAAUACUUAACCUUGCCAGACGCUGAUCUUCAGAGCUUCUUUAUUGAGCCCCCUAACGUAGUUUCCAAGAUACCUCUGGAGCAAAUACGCUACCUGAUCCUCCAACAUCUUCGCGCUCCUUUCCUCGUCUGCACAGCUAUCAGAAACUCCACGUUGAUUACGAAAACACCAUAGCAGAAUAAGAAGAGAAACGAAGAGAAGGAAACUAAUAUAGAAAAAUCAAAUACAACUUCAUCAACUCUGCGAAUCGUGGGGUUUAAAGAACAGAUCACACUCUUCCCCCAGAACACGCUAGGCGUAUUGGCCGCAUGAAUGGCACGUGCUUCGAGUAAUAAUCAUAUGCGGGACUCCACGUUAGCCUCCAUGGACUCUCGGGGAUGAUUCAUCUGAUUAACCCUAAUUUACCUGAUUCACCGGACACAACGUCGUUGAUCAAGUUGACUUUUGGCAAAUUACAUAAAUGCCACUGUACGAUAAAGUCACUUCAG